rnacentral:rRNA from 1 species
UACGGAGGGUGCGAGCGUUGUCCGGAAUCAUUGGGCGUAAAGGGCGCGUAGGUGGCCCGCUCAGCGUGCGGUGAAAGCCUGGGGCUCAACCCCGGGUCGGCCGUGCGAACUGGUGGGCUGGAGCACUGUAGAGGCAGGCGGAAUUCCGGGUGUAGCGGUGGAAUGCGUAGAGAUCCGGAAGAACACCGGUGGCGAAGGCGGCCUGCUGGGCAGUGGCUGACACUGAGGCGCGACGGCGUGGGGAGCAAACAGG